GGGUCCGUACCGGUUUUGACAGGCUGGCGAAAGCUACUCUGUGAUUCAGGUCGAGAGUGAGUCAUCUCUCGUAAAUCCAAGGCUCAAAAAAAAGUAAAUGCGAACAACAUCGUAAAAUUUGCUCGUAAGGAAGCUCUCGUAGCUGCCUAAAAACCUCUUAUAGGUUCGAGCGCUUCUAGUCUGACUCCGUUAAGGGCUAGAGGCAAACCCCAACGGAUGCGCNNNNNNNNNNNNNNNUAAUAAGUUCCCUCUGGUGGACUUGUUAGCAAAGACUUAACCAGAGUAUCCUAGCGUUCGGGAUAACGAACGUUCCCCGCCUUGAGGGUAAGAAAGGCUAAGCCUGUGAAUGAGCGGGGGGCCAAUACCCAGUUUGGACAGCAGUUCGACUCUGCUCGGAUCCACUA
rnacentral:tmRNA from 1 species